AGCAACAUGGCGCAGGGGUAGCGCGCGGGGCUCAUACCGGUGCCCAGGGGUAUUUCCCUGGUCCAUGAAACCCCGAGGUCACUGGAUCGAAACCAGUUGUUGCUA